rnacentral:rRNA from 1 species
CACGGUAAACGAUGGAUGCCCGCUGUUUGCGAUAUACUGUGAGCGGCCAAGAGAAAUCGUUAAGCAUCCCACCUGGGGAGUACGCCGGCAACGGUGAAACUCAAAGGAAUUGACGGGGGCCCGCACAAGCGGAGGAACAUGUGGUUUAAUUCGAUGAUACGCGGGGAACCUUACCCGGGCUUGAACUGCCAGCGAACGAUUCAGAGAUGAUGAGGUCCUUCGGGACGCUGGUGGAGGUGCUGCAUGGUUGUCGUCAGCUCGUGCCGUGAGGUGUCGGCUUAAGUGCCAUAACGAGCGCAACCCUUUUCUUUAGUUGCCAUCAGGUAAUGCUGGGCACUCUGGAGAUACUGCCACCGUAAGGUGUGAGGAAGGUGGGGAUGACGUCAAAUCAGCACGGCCCUUACGUCCGGGGCUACACACGUGUUACAAUGGGGGGCACAGCGAGCUGGGCGUACGCAAGUGCGUCCGAAUCAAGAAAUCCCCCCUCAGUUCGGACUGGGGUCUGCAACCCGACC